rnacentral:ncRNA from 1 species
UUAUUGGAGAGUUUGAUCCUGGCUCAGGACGAACGCUGGCGGCGUGCCUAAUACAUGCAAGUCGAGCGAAUCUGAGGGAGCUUGCUCCUGACGAUUAGCGGCGGACGGGUGAGUAACACGUGGGUAACCUGCCUGUAAGAUUGGGAUAACUCCGGGAAACCGGAGCUAAUACCGGAUAACAUUUCGAACCGCAUGGUUCGAAGUUGAAAGGUGGCUUUUGCUACCACUUACAGAUGGACCCGCGGCGCAUUAGCUAGUUGGUGAGGUAACGGCUCACCAAGGCGACGAUGCGUAGCCGACCUGAGAGGGUGAUCGGCCACACUGGGACUGAGACACGGCCCAGACUCCUACGGGAGGCAGCAGUAGGGAAUCUUCCGCAAUGGACGAAAGUCUGACGGAGCAACGCCGCGUGAGCGAAGAAGGCCUUCGGGUCGUAAAGCUCUGUUGUUAGGGAAGAACAAGUACCGUUCGAAUAGGGCGGUACCUUGACGGUACCUAACCAGAAAGCCACGGCUAACUACGUGCCAGCAGCCGCGGUAAUACG